rnacentral:rRNA from 1 species
UGAGGAAUAUUGCUCAAUGGGCGAAAGCCUGAAGCAGCAACGCCGCGUGCGCGAUGAAGGUCUUCGGAUCGUAAAGCGCUUUUGAGAGGGACGAGAUAGGACGGUACCUCUUGAAUAAGUCACGGCUAACUACGUGCCAGCAGCCGCGGUAAAACGUAGGUGGCAAGCGUUAUCCGGAUUCACUGGGCGUAAAGCGCGUGCAGGUGGCUUCGUAAGUUGGACGUUAAAUCUUUCGGCCUAACCGGGAGGUGUCGUUCAAUACUGCGGGGCUUGAGGGUAGAAGAGGGGGGUGGAAUUGCCGGUGUAGUGGUGAAAUGCGUAGAUAUCGGCAGGAACACCGGUGGCGAAAGCGGCCCCCUGGUCUGCUCCUGACACUCAGACGCGAAAGCUAGGGGAGUGAACG